UUUAGAGUUUGAUUCCUGGCUCAGGACGAACGCUGGCGGCAUGCCUAACACAUGCAAGUCGAACGGAGUUAAGAGAUAGCUUGCUAUUUCGAGACUUAGUGGCGAACGGGUGAGUAACGCGUGGAUAACCUACCUAUAAGAGGGGGAUAACUUUCCGAAAGGAGAGCUAAUACCGCAUAAAGUUGUUUGGUGGCAUCACUGAAUAACCAAAGGAGCAAUCCGCUUAGAGAUGGGUCCGCGUCCGAUUAGCUAGAUGGUGGAGUAAAAGCCUACCAUGGCGACGAUCGGUAGCCGGCCUGAGAGGGUGAACGGCCACACUGGGACUGAGACACGGCCCAGACUCCUACGGGAGGCAGCAGUGGGGAAUCUUCCGCAAUGGGCGAAAGCCUGACGGAGCAAUGCCGCGUGGGGGAAGAAGGUCUUCGGAUUGUAAACCCUUGUCUUCAGGGAAGAAAAAAAUGACGGUACCUGAGGAGAAGCCCCGGCA
rnacentral:rRNA from 1 species